UGCCUGUUCGAGCGUCACUUCAACCUCCAAGCACUGCUUGGUAUUGGAUGCCACUGCACAUGGUGCAUCUUAAAAGCAUUGGCGGCAGCAUUUAGCUUCUAGCAUAGUAAACUUCUUGCUCUGGAGCUGGAUGUCUGCCUGCCAGAACCCAUAUUUCAAAGGUUGACCUCGGAUCAGGUAGGGAUACCCGCUGAACUUAA
rnacentral:misc_RNA from 1 species